AAUAAAUUGACAAUUAUGAUAUAAUUCAAGGCAAAACCGCAUUUUAGCCAUACUAUUAACAUACAUCCAAUAUGUUAGGUCAUCAGCUCCAAGCCCACUUGUACAAUUUUUAUUUUUUGGGUUAUUCAGAAUUUCCUCCUUGGCUACAAUUAUUUCAUCGGCAAACCUAAGUAUUAAUAUAUCAAAAUUCAAUCUAACAACCAAAAUUUUAAUUUAAAAAAAUACAUCUUGAGAUGAUAAUCUAAUUUUCCUCCUUUCCAUUUUUUGUUGCUGUCCCCAAACCCAUGUACUUGGCAAUCAAGCCAGCUAUAUAUCGACAAUCUAUUAUAUGAGGAGGAGAUCAACAUAUGAGUUAAUUCAAGUGCAAAUGGAUAGGGGAAAAGGGUUUAGUCAGGAUCAACCUCCAGCUCGAACAGUAACACUGAUGUUGCGCCCAAAAGAAAAUGAUAUUCCAAAGCUACAGCGAAAGAUAACUCAGGAAGAAGAGAUGAAAAGGAAUAAAGAAAGAGAUAGCGACGGCAGCAGCAGCAGUAGGAACAAUAUUUGUCAGAAUGAAAUUACCGCAACCAAUGGCUCCACAGAUGUUGGGGUCUCCAACUUUGACAACUACGCCGUCCAAGGUAAAGGGGGCAGCGGAGGAACGAAGGGCUUCCCUGAACGUGGCGGUGGUUACAACAUUUCUGGCAAUAAAAUUAGUGCAAAUGGAGCCAGGAAAGUUGGGAUUCACAACUUCGGCAACACCACAUACGGCAUGCCUUUUACUACUGAGGAGAAUCAUGGAGAAGAAGCAGAAGGCGGCUCCAGUCCACCAAAGCCACAAGGGGGGCCCACCAGCUAACUCAUCAUCGAUCACAUGGUUUGGGAAAAUUAAAUAUGAAAAAAAUAUAUAAAUAAAAGAGUAAUCUCUUCUUCCAUGUUUAAUUUUAUUAUGUAUACAGUAUACGGUGUGCUAAAAUAAGAACUCAUACGGUAAUUACCCAGGCUUGUAAGCCUGUUCUUAUGUAUAUGUUAUUUGUAAUCAUGGCUUAAAGUUUAAUUAAUUACCUCGUACCCAAAAGUAUUAAUUAGGUUCAUUAUGUUUGUUCUUUUAAACUAGGUUUAUAUAUAUAAUUCGUUACUUUGAAUUUGUCAGAUUACAUAUGUAUAUUAGGAUGAUCCCAUGUCUGACAAGAUUCAAUAUAUGAUUUUGGAAGAUGAUAGAUAUAUGAUGUUGUUUAUGGAAGAAAGAAGGAUGAAUGAUUUUAAUAGUUUACAAGCAUCGGAGGAUAUUUGGCACCAUGAUGGGUAACAAAUAUUCCAAUAGCUUAGCUUCAAUGAUAUGAGACAAUUUGUGAUGUGGUUUAUGAAACAAAGAAGAAUGAAUGAGAGAGGAGAUAGAGGAAUAACCUGGCAAUUGCAAGGAGUUACGUGAGUUUUGUUAAGCUCAUGAGGCAUAGUAGAAGGCCUCCAAAUUCUGUGGAUGAUGAUAAGAAUUACACAACAUUUUUCAUAAGAGUAUCUUGAAUGACAAAUUUAUUAGCUCGCUUGAUAUACAUUGUUGGCUCAUUUGUUGACAGCUCAACUUUUUGAGGCUUAGUGGUUGUCUAGCAUAAUAUCAUACCUCUGGUUCUAGAAUGAGG
rnacentral:lncRNA from 1 species